GGAGCACGCCGGAUCUCUGGAGAGACAAGUGUGUGCUAGCUGUCUGGAAGUUAAGGGCAGCGUCCCCGGUUGUACGGUGCAAAAACCACAAGACCUUGAGUCAACAAUGUGGCGGGAGCUGAAUCCUUCUUCUGCUCCUCCUGGGAUUGUGCUGUUGUUGCAGGAGGUGCAUUUGAGAGGGAUACAGGCUAGACCAAAGAUGUGUUGAUCCAACGCCAACUUCACCUAUGGAUGACAGCACAAUUGCAUUUUUCCACAGCCAAAAAGAGCUGCAUCAGAUUGGUUGCCUUCAUACGGGAUCACUUUCAGCAAGCUCAGCUAUUCACCGUGGCAGUUUUUCAUCAGUAUGAAGAAAUGCAUUAAGUGCAUAUUCAUAUGUUCUAUGUGGCUUUGGUCUGAAUAGGAAAGAGUAUGAUAUAGAAAACCAGUAGUCAGAGUUGGGUAAGUCAGAGUGUUCUUGAGCUCCUAUCGACCUAGGACAGAGACAUACAUCAAUGCUACGUUUAUCCUCCAUGAUGGGUAAGAAGGAGCAAUAUAGACACUGACCUAAGACAGGUACAAUCACCUGGCCACUCUUUACCCUAGACAGGAUUAUGGAAAACAAGUAAAUCUUGUGCCCCCAGCCAGCAAUUGGUACUCCUCAUCUUUAAAAAGCAAAAAAGGGGGGAUUGUGCCCUUCCCAGCCUUGAGCACGUUUUUUUUCCUGCCUUAAGCAGACUGAAUAGACCUUGCCAAAUUAGACGUUAAUGACCUAGGUGGAGUCAUCUGCCUUGGUUGCACAUGCAACUUCCUCCAGAAACUUAGAAAAACAGACUUCUCACUGACCUUGCUUUGCAACAUAAUCCAUCUGAAACAAAGGAUGGAGUCUGUGAGUGCUCCUAUACAAAUGCAGUGCUGAAUAUUAAACUUGGAGCCUUGAUCAGAACCUUGUCUUGGCUUCAUUCUUCUCUCGCCGCUCCUGCCCCCUGCCCCCCAAGUCUCUCUCAUUUUCAGCUACCCUUUCAGGUAAACCCAGUUUGUCCAUGGCUCCUGGACAGCUACAAAAAGGCAUGCUUUUUCUUAAUUUCUCUAACCAUUCAGAGGCAACUUUUGUAGCAUCAAAUUUCAGGGGUUUAGCAUCAUUUAGAUUCAGAUUUCUUGAUGUAAUUGAAUUCAAUCCAACACUUGCAAGACUCUAUCUCCAUACCAAGGUUCUGAAACAUUGAAAGCAUAACAAAUGAAGGUUGAUGAAGUACCAUAGCAAUGUCAGAUGUACAAUUAGUUAAGUUACAGUCAUAGCAACUUACAUUGAAUUUAAACCCAUACACAGUGAUGUUAAUUUUCUCUGUCAACAAUGCAUAUGGCAGGGAAAUGCAGGCAAGUACAUUUCCCACUGUUGUCAGUCUGAACCCAACCUAGUGUUCAUCUCUGUUUAGUAGUUGUGUUAGUUGCUUUAAUCUCUCCCAAAGCCACAGCAAGUUUCCAGACAUAAGUCUGUGAUGAUCCAGUGUUUGUCCACCAAAGUCCUGCAUGCAGUCCUUUUUGCCAGUCAUCUGAGUUUGCUUGGGGACUCUGCUCAAGUUGGCAUCAGGAAGUGGCCCAUCAGCAACAGCAACAGCAUCAUGUGUCUGGUCAAUUGCUUUCUCCACAUAGUGAACCAAAUGCUCUGGAAUCUACCUGUCACUUUCAGCAUCCUGUGGAAAAGAGAAACAUGCCCUCUUCCCCAUAUUAAUAUCUGAUCAGGACCAUGCCAUAUGUCGGUAAGUGGGUCCUUCCAUUUCACCUGGGCAUAAGUAUACCUAGUUGUGCCGUGCCAUAGAUGCUUAGCAGCAACAUUUUAUUUUAUUUUUUGUAACUGAUUUUUUUUUAGAGCUCCAUGGGAUUGUUCCACAAUUCCCUGACUUUGUGGAUUAAAAAAUAUAUUANNNNNNNNNNNNNNNNNNNNNNNNNNNNNNNNNNCGUAAGUCUGAACUUUUAUAAAUAUAAGGUAUAAAACUUUACAUAAAUGUUAAAACAAAUUCUUUUUAAAAUAAAUUAUAUAUUUU
ensembl:lincRNA Gm15834 predicted gene 15834